UACCCAUCGAUAGCUCAUUACCCCCACUAUCCGCCCGGGAACUACGAGCAUUAGCUUAAAACCCAAAGGACUUGGCGGUGCUUAAGAUCCACCUAGAGGAGCCUGUUCUAGAACCGAUAACCCCCGUUCAACCUCACCCUCCCUUGUCUCCCCCGCCUAUAUACCGCCGUCGUCAGCUUACCCUGUGAAGGCCUAAUAGUAAGCAAAAUUGGCAUAGCCUAAAACGUCAGGUCGAGGUGUAGCGCAUGAGAGGGAAAGAAAUGGGCUACAUUCCCUAACAUAGUGAAUACGAAUAAUGAACUGAAACAUUCAUUUGAAGGAGGAUUUAGCAGUAAGCAGAAAAUAGAGCGUCCUGCUGAAACUGGCCCUAAAGCGCGCACACACCGCCCGUCACUCUCCCCAAGCUAUUAACUACACAUCUCUAAUACCCUAUAACUGCAAAGGGGAGGCAAGUCGUAACAUGGUAAGUGUACCGGAAGGUGUGCUUGGAAAAAU
rnacentral:rRNA from 1 species